CUUACUGCGUAUCUCUUCACACUUCCACCGCCCACACCAUCCGUACCACUAACAGAUUCUGUGGAGCAGACGGUUGCCAGCAAUGGUACCAUUGUUGAGUUUUCUGCAAGAGCAAGGGGAAAAUUUGCUUUCCUUCGCCAACUUUUUGCUGCAAAGAAGGCUAAGAACUCACAGUAAGCUGGCAAAAUUUUCAACACUUUACUCUCAAGCAGAGGGAUGACAAGUGUUGAACAGAAACAAUGUUAGUCGAUUAACCAAUAAACAAAACCAAAGGAAGAAAAACAAGUAGAUAAUGUCAUUGUAAAGGAAGUUUGUUACCUGUACUUUCUUGUUCAUAUCCAAUCCUCUCAUUUUAUGGGAAUCUCUGUAGCGGUAGGCCGUAUAGUAACAGUUUUCUUUUGCAUUUUUCUCAGGAUAGUGAUGGCUGCUUCUCGGCAGAUAUUUCUAACAAUAUAUGUUGCUCUUCAGAAUGUUAUUCAUCUUAAGCUAAUUUUUAAAGUAUGUAACACUCCUAUUUUGAAUUGAGAUAUUUGUAGGAUUGUUAUUUUCAUACUGUAUAAUUCUCUUCUUUGUGGGAUCUUUUUCCCACAAGCAUAAUUGGAAAGCGAUUCUUUAUUGUGUUAUUAUUA
rnacentral:lncRNA from 1 species